ACCAGCAGAGUUAGUACAUGGAAUAAAAAGGAGGAAGGGAUGCAGGUCUUUAAGAGAAGAUGGGAAAAUUAUUAGAAAAAAUGAUGUCUAGAUUAUGCAGCUUUUUGUUCAUUUUAUGAUUCAAAUGGCAAAGAGAAAACUGAUCAAUGUAUUCGUUUAUCAACUGAGACUUGCGUGUGAAAUCUAGUCUAAAAGUGUCCUUGUUCUAAGAUUAAGAUUAGAGUUAGUCUGAGGUACUACUACAAUUCCUUCAUGCUUUUAGAUAUUGGGAGCUGUUCCAAUGUACAUGUAAUUUUUUUUUCUAAGUACAGGACAAACCAAUACUACAAGGUGACACAAAAUCCUAGUAGAAAGGAAGCCCGCAAAUAUUUCUAUCUACUGUGUGUUAAAAUGGAAGGGACAGUCUA
rnacentral:lncRNA from 1 species